UGGGGAAUAUUGGACAAUGGGCGCAAGCCUGAUCCAGCCAUGCCGCGUGAGUGAUGACGGCCUUAGGGUUGUAAAGCUCUUUCGUCCGGGACGAUAAUGACGGUACCGGAAGAAGAAGCCCCGGCUAACUUCGUGCCAGCAGCCGCGGUAAUACGAAGGGGGCUAGCGUUGUUCGGAAUCACUGGGCGUAAAGGGCGCGUAGGCGGCUUUGUAAGUCGGGGGUGAAAGCCUGUGGCUCAACCACAGAAUUGCCUUCGAUACUGCAUGGCUUGAGACCGGAAGAGGUCAGUGGAACUGCGAGUGUAGAGGUGAAAUUCGUAGAUAUUCGCAAGAACACCAGUGGCGAAGGCGGCUGACUGGUCCGGAUCUGACGCUGAGGCGCGAAAGCGUGGGGAGCAAACA
rnacentral:rRNA from 1 species